UCGCUUGUAGCUUAGUUGGUAGAGUAUCUGACUUUUAAUCAGAGGGUCGUGGGUUCGAGUCCCAUCAGGCGAACCA
rnacentral:tRNA from 1 species